UCCGUAGGUGAACCUGCGGAGGGAUCAUUACUGAGUUACCGCUCUAUAACCCUUUGUGAACAUACCUACAACUGUUGCUUCGGCGGGUAGGCCGUCCCCUGAAAAGGACGCCUCCCGGCCCGGACCGGACCCCCCGCGGGACCGGACCCGGCGCCCGCCGGAGGAUAACCAAACUCUAUUGUAACGACGUUUCUUCUGAGUGGCAUAAGCAAAAUAAUCAAAACUUUUAACAACGGAUCUCUUGGUUCUGGCAUCGAUGAAGAACGCAGCGAAAUGCGAUAAGUAAUGUGAAUUGCAGAAUUCAGUGAAUCAUCGAAUCUUUGAACGCACAUUGCGCCCGCCAGCAUUCUGGCGGGCAUGCCUGUUCGAGCGUCAUUUCAACCCUCAAGCUCUGCUUGGUGUUGGGGCUCUACGGUCGACGUAGGCCCUCAAAGGUAGUGGCGGACCCUCCCGGAGCCUCCUUUGCGUAGUAACAUUUCGUCUCGCACUGGGAUCGCGGAGGGACUCUUGCCGUAAAACCCCCCAAUUUUCCAAAGGUUGACCUCGGAUCAGGUAGGAAUACCCGCUGAACUUAAGCAUAUCAAUAAGUCGGAGGA
rnacentral:rRNA from 1 species